GUCCUAGCUGUAACGAUGGGUGCUUGGUGUAGCGGUAUCGACCCUGCUGUGCCGAAGCUAACGCAUUAAGCACCCGCCUGGGAGUACGGUCGCAAGGCUGAACUCAAGGAAUUGACGGGCCCGGCACAAGCGGUGGAGCAUGUGGUUCAAUUCGACGCAACGCGAAGAACCUUACCUGGGUUUGGAACUGCUGUUGUAAGCCUCAGAGAUGAGGUCCUCCCGCAAGGGACAACAGCAGAGGUGCUGCAUGGCUGUCGU
rnacentral:rRNA from 1 species